GCAAUGGUUUGUCAUUUCAAGCAACUGACAAUUUUCCACACAGAUGGCUGAUUCUUAAAAGCUUUAGAGGAGUUUGUCGGAACCACAAGAAGACAAAAAGCAGUGCCAGCAAGAGAGCAGUCGGCAGAAUAAUGCAAAACAAUGCAUAAAUGUGGCAGUAACUUGA